AAAUACGGCUCCGUGGUCAGUCGGAACGCCACUCUCCUGCUUAAAGUAAGUGACGAUGCUAUCUCGGCAAUCCCCCGGAUCAUUACUGUCAAGCCUGCGAUUUCUGCCAAUGGCAGUGUGUUUUUGUACUGCUUCGCCUCGGGAAGGCCGGCCCCAGAGAUGACGUGGUGGGGAGUGGAGGAGAGAGCGGGGGCCACGGAGUACCAUCAGCUACAGACAGGUGGGAGAAUGACUAUCGAUCAGAGGAAGGAUGGGGAGCACUCAACUCUUGUCCUGCGGAUAGACCAAGCCGCACCCCAAGAUGGCGGCAAUUAUCGAUGUAUCGGGAG